rnacentral:tRNA from 1 species
GCGCGAUUGACGUAGUGGUCUAACGCGUACACUCCGAAAGUGUAAGAUCCCGGGUUCGAAUCCCGGAUCGCGCA